rnacentral:lncRNA from 1 species
GCAUUCAGCCAGGUGAUCCGCAUUCUGUCUGUGAACUCUCCAGAUUCCCUGGCAGAUCGCAAUCUACUCAGACAGCUGUGUACCUGUCACUGGUCUCAUUUAGCUGUGCUUUGAUGUGCAGAAUGUAUGAUGGAUAGUUUUUCAACAGCAUUGGCACCGGUCACAUCUCAGGAAAAUAAUACAGCAAGGAAUAACACAGCAAAUAUCUCAUUCUCACCUGUUCAUCAUGUCAGCCAAUACAAUUGCUGAUCUGGAGCUGUAACCAGUCCUCUCUGCCGCACGUGCAGCCUCUAGCCCCUGUGGGGUUCCCGGCCGAGAACCCACCACAGCACAGAGCAUGCCUGGACAAAGAGAUUUUCAUGUCAAAAGUACGCACUGACAUCAGUCUCCCAUCUCAUGUAAGCAAUUAAGGAGUGGUCAAGAACAAUUCAUGGACCUCCAAUAAUUGUCUUGCAAUACUUGAAGUCUGCAUCAGGCACCAAAGGAACCAGAUGGCACCUUCAUCAGAGGUCUCAGCUUGAGGACCAUAUAUUUCUCUUAUGUCACAGAACCCUGUGCUGAAUAGUAAUUGCCUCAAACUUGCAGGAUAUGACGCAGCACUCCGGUCUGUGCCCUGUGCAGCCCCGACGGAGUGCCUUGCAAGAAGGAU